UUAGGAAUAUUCGUCAAUGGGGGAAACCCUGAACGAGCAAUGCCGCGUGAACGAUGACGGUCCUAUGGAUUGUAAAGUUCUGUUGUUAGGGAAGAACGAUCUGUGUAGGAAAUGAUACAGGAGUGACGGUACCUUUCAAGAAAGCUCCGGCUAACUACGUG
rnacentral:rRNA from 1 species